rnacentral:rRNA from 1 species
UUGAACGCUGGCGGCAGGCCUAACACAUGCAAGUCGAACGGUAACAGGAAGCAGCUUGCUGCUUUGCUGACGAGUGGCGGACGGGUGAGUAAUGUCUGGGAAACUGCCUGAUGGAGGGGGAUAACUACUGGAAACGGUAGCUAAUACCGCAUAACGUCGCAAGACCAAAGAGGGGGACCUUAGGGCCUCUUGCCAUCGGAUGUGCCCAGAUGGGAUUAGCUAGUAGGUGGGGUAAAGGCUCACCUAGGCGACGAUCCCUAGCUGGUCUGAGAGGAUGACCAGCCACACUGGAACUGAGACACGGUCCAGACUCCUACGGGAGGCAGCAGUGGGGAAUAUUGCACAAUGGGCGCAAGCCUGAUGCAGCCAUGCCGCGUGUAUGAAGAAGGCCUUCGGGUUGUAAAGUACUUUCAGCGGGGAGGAAGGGAGUAAAGUUAAUACCUUUGCUCAUUGACGUUACCCGCAGAAGAAGCACCGGCUAACUCCGUGCCAGCAGCCGCGGUAAUACGGAGGGUGCAAGCGUUAAUCGGAAUUACUGGGCGUAAAGCGCACGCAGGCGGUUUGUUAAGUCAGAUGUGAAAUCCCCGGGCUCAACCUGGGAACUGCAUCUGAUACUGGCAAGCUUGAGUCUCGUAGAGGGGGGUAGAAUUCCAGGUGUAGCGGUGAAAUGCGUAGAGAUCUGGAGGAAUACCGGUGGCGAAGGCGGCCCCCUGGACGAAGACUGACGCUCAGGUGCGAAAGCGUGGGGAGCAAACAGGAUUAGAUACCCUGGUAGUCCACGCCGUAAACGAUGUCGACUUGGAGGUUGUGCCCUUGAGGCGUGGCUUCCGGAGCUAACGCGUUAAGUCGACCGCCUGGGGAGUACGGCCGCAAGGUUAAAACUCAAAUGAAUUGACGGGGGCCCGCACAAGCGGUGGAGCAUGUGGUUUAAUUCGAUGCAACGCGAAGAACCUUACCUGGUCUUGACAUCCACGGAAGUUUUCAGAGAUGAGAAUGUGCCUUCGGGAACCGUGAGACAGGUGCUGCAUGGCUGUCGUCAGCUCGUGUUGUGAAAUGUUGGGUUAAGUCCCGCAACGAGCGCAACCCUUAUCCUUUGUUGCCAGCGGUCCGGCCGGGAACUCAAAGGAGACUGCCAGUGAUAAACUGGAGGAAGGUGGGGAUGACGUCAAGUCAUCAUGGCCCUUGCGACCAGGGCUACACACGUGCUACAAUGGCGCAUACAAAGAGAAGCGACCUCGCGAGAGCAAGCGGACCUCAUAAAGUGCGUCGUAGUCCGGAUUGGAGUCUGCAACUCGACUCCAUGAAGUCGGAAUCGCUAGUAAUCGUGGAUCAGAAUGCCACGGUGAAUACGUUCCCGGGCCUUGUACACACCGCCCGUCACACCAUGGGAGUGGGUUGCAAAAGAAGUAGGUAGCUUAACCUUCGGGAGGGCGCUUACCACUUUGUGAUUCAUGACUGGGGUG